CACACACACACACACACGCCCCCUCCCACCCCCCCGGAGCCCCAAAAUGACCGGGCUAAAGGCAGCACGAUUUCAGCACCUGGGUCCAGAGGACCGCUCCCGGCGGGCGCGCCACAGCGCUGCGCGGAGGCUGAGCUCAAGGGACAAUGAGUUUCCUUAAUGCCUAUAAACUGAGAGUCCCUGGAGUUCAGGGAGCUGGGCAGGGUUUGGCCGUGAAGAAAGGGCUCCAGAGAAGAAAUCAGAUCGGGAACAUCCUCUCCCUCCCCCUCUGAUGGCCUCCUCAUCUCCACCCCCUGGAAGAACAGCCUUGAAUUGGCUCGGAGGAAGAUUCUCCUUUAAAAACGGAUUCCCUGUCCUCGCCCACUUUCCCCUGCCCGUCAGCAGACGGGAGCAAACCUGAACCACCAGGACAACGUUUGCAUCACCCCACUAGGCUCUGCUGUUUUUUGAGGACAGAGGGAGUCGGCAUUGAGGACAUGCUAAAAAAACAACUCGUCGCCAGCUUUUUUUUAUUUUUAGCUCUACGUAUGUAUGUAUGUUAUUGCCUUUGCGGCAGUGGGGAGUCCUGCAGUCAGGAGAAAUAUCAAUGGGAGGAAGACGCCUCUAGUACUUGCACUGAAGAUGGAUUAUCACAUGGGGUCGCCAGAUGUGGUCAGACAGACUGGAAAACAUACCACGUUCGCAGAGUUUCAAUGAAGUCUUCUCGGAUUAAUGAAAAUGUCAGGCUAAGCGUGUGUUUAAAGGCACAGUGGAUCUAUAGGGGUAGAAAUAUAUACACGCCCUAGAUUUACACGUACAGACAGAUACAUUCACACCCUCCAGAGGGUGUGUAUAGGUGUUAGAUCAUUCAUCGGUGGUCAGCGUAUUAAAGCACGUAAUUUAAAUGUG